UUACAGAAUGGCCAUAUGACGAAGAUCUAACUUUAUUCGCCAUCGCCGAGGUUCUUGAUAUGUUUGGAACAAAUUCAAUAUUUUAAUCACGAACUGUCGAAAAGUAUUGCUGAAAUCGUGUUAGAUUUAAUGACCAUAUCACCAUAUCAUAGAAGCGUACUGUUCCAACGUGUGUUAGCACCACGAAAUACGGAAAAGAAAACCAAACCAUUGCGUGAUCGCAAUUCAGAAAUAUAAUUACAACAUACAAAAUGUUUUGCGGUCCAUGUCAGGCACAAGGAAAGAAAGAAGCAGCUGUCGUAUCUUGCAACGAGUGUAAAAAUGAGUUGCUGUGCGUAGAAUGUAAAACGCGUCACAGUCUCCAGCUUAUAACUAGAAAGCAUACCCUCCAAGCACUAGAAAAAGAAGAGGACGUGCCAACAAAUGCUUCUGAUGAAGACCGUGAGCUAUUCUGCGACCAAUGCAAAGCAAUGAACAAGACAAGUAUAGCAUCAGUAUUCUGCUCCGAUUGUGAAAACCAACUUCUCUGCACUAUGUGUGAAGCCUAUCACAGGUCUCUUAAAAUCACAGAAGAGCAUAAGCUACAAAACGUAUCGUGCAACAGUAAUAUGGCAGAAGGAAGUUUUUCCAAAGCUGUAGCCGUCAGGCCGGAAAUCAUACAAAAUACUGAGUACAAACCAGGUCGACCUAGUGCAAUAUCGGUUAGCUUUGAGUCCAUCAAAUUACAAUGGUCCACGCCGAAAGCAUUUAGUGAUGGCGAUUACUUCCAAUUAUGUUACAAGGAGAACAAAAGUCCACAUUGGAAGACCUGGGAAGAAAUGAAUACAGAGUCAAUUAAAAAUAUUACACAUUUAAAAUCAGAAACACAGUAUAUUUUUCGGGUACGAGUCAUUCAUAACGAUUUAGAAGGUCCUUUCAGCGAUGUUAGUGAGAGUGUUAAAACAGUACAAUCAGCAGCAUCAAUACUCGUCAAAUGCUCUUCCUGUCCCGGUGAAACUAAUACAACGCCAAAACUUUUUGCACUGGCGAUGAAAGAAAAAGAACGAGAUCCAAUAACCAAAAUAAGGUCAUUUCAACUUGGUGAACCGGGAUCAUGUGUUGAAAAGACAAUUAUGCUGGUUGGAGAGACGGGUACCGGUAAGAGUACCCUGGUAGAUGGAAUGGCCAAUUACAUUCUAGGGGUUGGAUGGGAUGAUCCGUUUCGAUUUAAAAUGGUUAGCCUCGAAAGUGAAGAAAAGGGCAAAUCUACAAAUCAGGCCGUGUCCCAAACAGAAUGGAUAACGUGCUACACAAUCCAUCCAAUGAAUGGUGGAAGACUCAAAUAUUCAAUGACUAUUAUUGAUACACCUGGAUUUGGUGAUACUAGAGGCAUUGAACAUGACCAGAAAAUAGUUAAACAGAUUCAUAAAUUGUUUUCAUCAACCCCUCCACAGGGUGUUUUGAAUAUUGAAGCAAUUUGUUUUCUUGUCAAGGCACCUGAUGGCCGACUUACUACAUCGCAAAAGUAUAUUUUUAAUUCAAUAAUGUCAAUAUUUGGAAAGGAUAUUAAAGAAAACAUUUGCUCAUUGAUAACCUUUGCCGACGGCAACGAGCCUUGUGUAUUGGCAGCUUUAGUUGAGUCUGGGAUGCCAUUUGGGCAGCAUUUCAUGUUCAACAACUCAGCACUUUUUGCAAAAAAUACGAAUACAGAUUAUUCCGGUGUGUCAAGUAAAUUCUGGGAAAUGGGAAUCCAGAGCUUUCAAAAAUUCUUCAGAUAUUUAGAAUCAAUUCCAACAAAAAGUUUGCAGCUGACAACAAAUGUUUUAUUUGAGAGAAAUCGUUUGGAAAUUAAUAUCAGUAAUUUGGAAGCAAUGAUUACUGGAGCGGUAAUCAAAGUUCAGGAACUUAAAAGUGAAAUUGAUUGCCUGGAUAGAUAUCGAGACAUAAUUGAACAAAACAAACAAUAUACAUUCACGACUAAACAAUUGUGUAUGAAGAAAGAAAAAUUACUUAGCGGAGAAAAUGUGACAAACUGUACAAAGUGUCAUACUACAUGCCAUCCUAAAUGCAAAAGAGCUCAAUCUAGCAACAAAAAAGGUUGCUGGGCUAUGGAUAAAAGUGGGAAAUGUAGGAUUUGUCUAGACAAAUGUGACUGGAAGGUACACGUGAACGAAACAUAUAGAUAUAUAUACACUGAAGAGGAGGUGGAAACAACUUAUGAUAAAAUAAAACAGAAAUUUGAAAAUGCGACAGGCAAAGCCCUGAACCAAGAAGAUUUGAUUUCAAACAAACGCAAAGAAAUAUUAGAUUUGCAUGUACAAAUGGAAGAAAUGAUGAAUAUUGUAAGAAACUGUAACGAUCAUCUGGCUGAAAUAGCACUGCGACCUAAUCCACUUUCAGAGGAAGAGUACAUAGACAAGUUGAUUGAAAACGAACGAUUUGAAAAAAGGACAGGUUUCUUGCAAAGAAUAGAAACACUUAACCAGUUCAAAAAAAGAGCUAAGGUACCUGAGAUGUAUCAAACACUUCGUCACGAAACAGCCCCUGUUCUUUCCGAAAUAAAUAACACAAAGGAAAAGAAACACGUAACCAAACGAUUUUAUGAUUAUAUAAAAAGAACUGGAUCAAGGGGUUUUUUGAUUGUGGUGGCAAUAGAUUUUGGUGCAUCCUUCUCUGGAUGGGCGUUUUCUUCAGUUGAUGACUUUCGACGAUGGUUGACAUCUAAUAAUUGUUUGUCGCUGAAAGUUGAGUAUAAUUGAAAUAAGAUAUUUUUUGUUAUAUAUACAUAUAUGUAUAUGCAUCGUGUAGUCAUAUACGUACGUGCAAUAAGUACCAUAAAUGUAGUCUAGGAGGACCGUCGUCAUUAACUAAAUAUUUACGAUGAUUUAUUUUAGACAAUGGGUUAAUCUUUAAUAUUAUUCUUUUGAUUGCACUGCAAUAGUUAACCAUCAAGAACACAUAAUACAAUAGUUAAAAAAAUGCAUAUAAUUGAUUCAAGUACUUAAAUGACGGUAAUAUUGUGCCUAUUAAACUCAGUUUUAUUCUUGUAUAUCCUAUAUAAUAUAAUUAUAUGUAAAAUUAUCGUCAAAGCGUGAGACAAGAUCGGACAAAUGUUCUUUACUAUUAUUUUUACAUUAGCACCGACAUGUAUACUUAUCCAACCAAAUGGGAACACACUAGAGGCUUUUGGAACCGAUGCCGAAAUCAGAUACACAGAGCUUUCUCAAAAAGAGGAACACACUGACUGGUAUUUCUUCCGAAGAUUUAAGAUGCAGCUAUAUGAUACAAAGAGGUCUAUUGGGCAGUCCACGAUGUUGACAGACGAGACUGGAAAAGAACUUCAUGCGUUGACAGUAUACUCUUUAUCGAUUAAAUAUAUGAAAGACAAUUUUUACGAUUCCCUGAACAGCAUAACAUCUGAAAACUUGCGCACAUCAGAUAUUUGUUGGGUUUUAACCGUGCCAGAUAUAUGGAACGAGCCUGCAAAACAGUUCAUGAUUAUGUCGGCUCGAGAGGCAGGAAUUGAAAUAGAACAUCUCAGCAUUGCAUCGGAACCUGAGGCUGCGACUACAUACUGUCUUUUUACUGAGUCUAACCAUCACGACCCUAGAACGUCACACAUUUCAACCUUUCGCACAGGCGAAAGAUAUCUUGUUUGUGAUAUCGGAGGUGACACAGUUUACAUCACAGUGCACAAGGUGACGCUUGAUAUGAAAUUGAAACAAAUAGAGGCUGUCAAUGGUGGAGAAUGGCUUGUAACAAAAGCGCACGAGGAGUUUGAGAAAUAUAUUGACACUUUGGCAGGGUGUCAUGUAAUGCAAGCUUCUAAGAAUAAGCACAUGGACGAGUACAUAGAACUGAUGAAUACAUUCGAUUUGAAGCGGAAAACAUUCACAAAAUCAACCGAUGCAGAAAAAAUUAGAUUUAUUGUUCCUUGUGCGAUUCGAACACUUGUUGAACAAAUGACGGGACAAAAGUUACAGCAACAGGUUCAGCGCUCAAUUUACGGCAAAACCACUUAUGUAACAGGCGACAAACUCGUAUGCUCAGAAAGUGAUCUAUCAGCUCUAUUUGAUGAACCAAUCACAUCAAUCAUCAGACAAUUGAACCCCAUUGUGUCAAAGUACGUUGACGAUCCCAUCAAUCAUAUUAUAAUGACUGGCGGAUUUUCGGAAUCGCUGCUUUUGCAAGAUGCGUUGCGAGAAGCCUUUCCAACAAUCAAGGUCACCGUCCCCAUCGAUGCAAACGAAGCUGUCCUUGGCGGUGCAGUUAUUCUUGGACACAAUGACUUUCAAAUUAUAUCAAGAGUCGCUUAAUUUUAAUAUUGUGUCAGUGUUUGAAAAAUAUAUAAAUUCGCAAGAAACAAAUAUUGAAGAAGGCCAGUGAAGAAGUGAAAAGUCAGGUGAUCCCCUGACACAUGAUUUACAUAAAUGUCAGCCGACUAAACGCUCGGAUUUUUGCAACAAAAAGAAUAACCCGAUUAUCGAAAAAGACUAUCAUGUUUUUAAAUCGGUUUCUUAUAUGUGAAUGUUGAGGAGAGGCCAGGUAACGUUGCGAGUAAUUAACUAAGAAUGUACUUUGUUUGCACCAACAUACCACUGAAGGUUAUGCUUAGAGCUAUUUUAUAGUGUUAAAGUAUCAGUUCAUUCUCUGAUGUUAUUUCUUUAAAAUUUAAGAACAAGAGACGUACAUUAUAUAAGAUGCAGAUCACAUUAUUGAUUGUCAGCUACAAACAUAAAUAUUCACAAUUUUUAAUUACAACAAAAAAAACUUUAAAAUAUUUCAAAUGAAUAUAUCUUCUCAAAUACAUAAUUGCAUACGUAAUACAACAUUUGAAAAUUAAUCUUUUAACUCAGACUACGGCCAAGUUACUUUUAAAUUUCACCGAUUGCAACACGCGAAUGUAAAAUCGAACGAUGCAAUUAUAAGCAAUGUCGCUACCCUAUAAGGCAAUGCUUACGGGCAUAUUUGAGGUAUUCGCCCGAACCAUAUCUUAUUAUAUAUGCAUUUUUACAUGACGACUACACUUCUUCACAAAUAUAUUAUUGAAAAAAGAAUACACACAUGUGAAGAUCACUCUAACAACUCAGACCACGGCUAAGUUACUUUUACAUUUUACCGAUUGCGAGACGCGAGACGCAAUUAAACGCAAUGUCGCUUUUUACAUUACCAGGAAAUGCUUACGAGGAUAUUCGAGGUAUUCGCCCGGCCCAUAAUUUCUGCAGUUCUAUUCGGCACUCUCAGUAAGAUAACGUAUCGAUUAAGUUUGUCAGCAGCUUGAUCAGCGUUACUAUACUGGUAUAUAAUGUAUAUUUUGGACUUGUUUUCGUUGAAAAAACAUUUUAUGCAUGCAAAAUGAAAAUAUGACAUAUGAAAACGACGUAAAGCAUUAAAACAAAACUAAUAUGAAUGUAGACACGGCGUAAAUAUGUUGUUAAAUUUGGAGAGAAAUAUCCUAGUGAUACGUCUUGUAUUGGCACAAAACAUACUGUUGAUAUUUUUAAUUUCGACCUUGCGUCGAGGUCUCCUUUCAAAAUUGCAUGCUUCUCGCCAAUAAUCAUGCGUUUGAAUCUCACACAUCUAGCACCUUUACACAAAAUUUGGGAAAUGGUCGGGAAAUGGUCGGGGUAUAGUACUUGUACAUAUACGACAGAUAAAUCGAUGGUUCGAAUAAGUACUGAAAUAAAGCCCCCUUUCUCAGUGUACCCUGUAGUGUUUAUAACAAUAAAUAGUAAUGUCUAAUAAAUACGCUUAUUAAAGAAGAAA